rnacentral:tRNA from 1 species
UAAACUCUAAUAGUUUA